rnacentral:rRNA from 1 species
CUACGGGACGCUCCAGUGAGGAAUAUUGCACAAUGGGGGGAACCCUGAUGCAGCAACGCCGCGUGGAGGAUGACGCAUUUCGGUGUGUAAACUCCUUUUAUAUGUCAAGAAAAUGACGGUAGCAUAUGAAUAAGCACCGGCUGAACUCCGUGCCAGCAGCCGCGGUAAUACGGAGGGUGCAAGCGUUACUCGGAAUCACUGGGCGUAAAGGACGCGUAGGCGGGUUGGAAAGUCAGGUGUGAAAUCCUACAGCUUAACUGUAGAACUGCACUUGAAACUUCUAAUCUAGAGUAUGGGAGGGGGAGAUGGAAUUAGUGGUGUAGGGGUAAAAUCCGUAGAUAUCACUAGGAAUACCUAAAGCGAAGGCGAUCUCCUGGAACAUUACUGACGCUAAGGCGUGAAAGCGUGGGGAGCAAACAGGAUUAGAUACCCCCGUAGUC